GAGUAAAGUGGCGCACGGGUGAGUAACACGUAGACAACCUGCCUUCCAGCCUGGAAUAACCAACCGAAAGGUUGGCUAAUACCGGAUAAUACUUUUGGGCGCAUGCUCAAGAGUCGAAAGGCUUGCUACUGGAAGAGGGGUCUGCGGGACAUUAGCUUGUUGGUGGGGUAAUGGCCUACCAAGGCAUCGAUGUCUAGCGGGUCUGAGAGGAUGAUCCGCCACACUGGGACUGAGACACGGCCCAGACUCC
rnacentral:rRNA from 1 species